rnacentral:rRNA from 1 species
AUUGAACGCUGGCGGCAGGCCUAACACAUGCAAGUCGAACGAGUGGCGGACGGGUGAGUAAUGUAUGGGAAACUGCCUGAUGGAGGGGGAUAACUACUGGAACCGGUAGCUAAUACCGCAUACCAUCGGAUGUGCCCAGAUGGGAUUAGCUAGUAGGUGGGGUAAAGGCUCACCUAGGCGACGCUCCCUAGCUGGUCUGAGAGGAUGACCAGCCACACUGGAACUGGGACACGGCCCAGACUCCUACGGUAGGCAGCAGUGGGGAAUAUUGCACAAUGGGCGCAGGCCUGAUGCAGCCAUGCCGAGUGUAUGAAGAAGGCCUUCGGGUUGUAAAGUACUUUCAGCGGGGAGGCGUUACCCGCAGAAGAAGCACCGGCUAACUCCGUGCCAGCAGCCGCGGUGAUAC